GAGAAAGAAAAGCUAAGUCAAAUAAGUAAAAAUAACAUGGCAAGUACAAAUGAAAAUAUCAAACAAAAGAGCUUUAACAAAAUUGCUUUUCUUUAGUCCUGCUUACUAGUUGAAAGCUUGUGUCCAUUUCAACGUCUUUCACAGACACACUUGCAUCAGGGUCUCCCAAUUUCACAUCCCAAUCAAUCAAGAUCAAGUCAUUAAUACCCUGCGUAUUGUUUAAAAAAAAAAAAAGGUUGAACCCCAACAUUGAGGACCCCUAUCGCCCCGCCCCUAGAGCUUUGUGAGAGAAGUAAAUCGCAGGAUGUGCCCCAAUAGGCCAGGGAACAAGAGCUGCAUGUAUACUGUGCCUACAAGAGUCAAAUUUCAUGUUUCAGGAAUCGAACCUCUACACUGCGACUGCCGACAAGGCGUGAGAUAACCUCACUCCUGUUCAUUGCACCACUGGGCUAUGCUUCGGGGUGCAAUACCCUGUGUACUGCUGCUUAUAUAAAUGUUUGUAAAUGGAGAUUCACCAGAGCAGCCCCCACACCGAAUGAUCAUAGCUGCCCCAACAUUCGUCCUAACUUGACGUUUUCAAAGGAUCCACAACUGAUUUGCACCGACAUUGAGUGGUCGACGGAUUUUGGGAAAUGAGUUCUCUCAUGUGGUUUCAAGGGGUAGAAAUUUUUCGUGGCUGCUCUUUCUUUUCCCUAUUGGGAUAAUGACUCCUGUUUUAUAGAAAUAGCCACAGUUACUUUUUCCCUGCUACAAGGAAAGCAAGUGUUCCUUUGGAAUGACUUAAUAAUCACUCAAUCAACCUUGUUGGUGUCUUUCCCUCAUCUUUGUAGAUGGUGAAACGCA
rnacentral:lncRNA from 1 species